GACGAACGCUGGCGGCGUGCUUAACACAUGCAAGUCGAACGAUGAAGCUGGAGCUUGCUCCGGUGGAUUAGUGGCGAACGGGUGAGUAACACGUGAGCAAUCUGCCCUUGACUCUGGGAUAACUGCGGGAAACUGUAGCUAAUACUGGAUACGAGACCUGAAGGCAUCUUCGGGUCUGGAAAGAAUUUCGGUCAAGGAUGAGCUCGCGGCCUAUCAGCUUGUUGGUGAGGUAAUGGCUCACCAAGGCGACGACGGGUAGCCGGCCUGAGAGGGUGACCGGCCACACUGGGACUGAGACACGGCCCAGACUCCUACGGGAGGCAGCAGUGGGGAAUAUUGCACAAUGGGCGAAAGCCUGAUGCAGCAACGCCGCGUGAGGGAUGAAGGCCUUCGGGUUGUAAACCUCUUUUGGCAGGGAAGAAGCGAAAGUGACGGUACCUGCAGAAAAAGCACCGGCUAACUACGUGCCAGCCGCCGCGGUAA
rnacentral:rRNA from 1 species